rnacentral:rRNA from 1 species
GAUGAACGCUGGCGGCGUGCCUAAUACAUGCAAGUCGAGCGAACGGACGAGAAGCUUGCUUUUCUGAUGUUAGCGGCGGACGGGUGAGUAACACGUGGAUAACCUACCUAUAAGACUGGGAUAACUUCGGGAAACCGGAGUUAAUACCGGAUAAUAUUUUGAACCGCAUGGUUCAAAAGUGAAAGACGGUCUUGCUGUCACUUAUAGAUGGAUCCGCGCUGCAUUAGCUAGUUGGUAAGGUAACGGCUUACCAAGGCAACGAUGCAUAGCCGACCUGAGAGGGUGAUCGGCCACACUGGAACUGAGACACGGUCCAGACUCCUACGGGAGGCAGCAGUAGGGAAUCUUCCGCAAUGGGCGAAAGCCUGACGGAGCGACGCCGCGUGAGUGAUGAAGGUCUUCGGAUCGUAAAACUCUGUUAUUAGGGAAGAACAUAUGUGUAAGUAACUGUGCACAUCUUGACGGUACCUAAUCAGAAAGCCACGGCUAACUACGUG